UACCAGCACCUCGAGUGGUCGGGACGAUUAUUGGGCCUAAAGCAUCCGUAGCUUGUUCUGCAAGUCCUCCGUUAAAUCCACCUGCUCAACAGAUGGGCUGCGGGGGAUACUACAGGGCUAGGAGGCGGGAGAGGCAAACGGUACUCAGUGGGUAGGGGUAAAAUCCUCUGAUCCACUGAAGAUCACCGUGGCGAAGGCGGUUUGCCAGAACGCGCUCGACGGUG
rnacentral:rRNA from 1 species